GGGGUGGGGGGGAACCCCCCAACUCCCAACCCUUGCCUACCUACCACGUUGCUUCGGCGGGCGCGCGACCGCCGGGGGCCAACCGAACUCCGAUUGCCUCGACCGUCCGAGCGAAUGCGAUGAAACGAGUGAAAACUUUUAACAACGGAUCUCUUGGUUCCGGCAUCGAUGAAGAACGCAGCGAAAUGCGAUAAGUAAUGCGAAUUGCAGAAUUCAGUGAGUCAUCGAAUCUUUGAACGCACAUUGCGCCCCCCGGCAUCCCGGGGGGCAUGCCUGUCCGAGCGUCAUUUCACCAAUCAAGCCCGGCUUGGUACUGGGCUCCGUCCUCCACCGGACGGGCCUGAAAGGCCCCGGCCGCGCGGUCCCGCUUCGGGCGUAGCAGAGCCUUCGCCGCCUCGCCUUGGAAGCCGGUGGCCGCGUCGAGCCGCGAAAGCGAACCCUCUGCAUCGCAAGGUUGACCUCGGAUCAGGUAGGGAUACCCGCUGAACUUAAGCAUAUCAA
rnacentral:rRNA from 1 species